GGAGGAAAGAGAAAAGGUGGAAGGGUUGAGCAAGGCUUCUGUGUUUAGAAAUUAUCCUGUCUAGCCCUCACUCUCUUCUCUUUCAGGGUUACCCUGGACCGAAGGGAGAGAUGGGUCUAUCAGGUCCCAAAGGACAACCGGGACCCCCAGGACAAAAAGGAGAAAAGG